UAUGGUGUUGUUAUGCUGUUGCUAGGGGGUUUUCUAGGGUGUUUUAUAUGGUUUCUAUGGGUUUGCUAGGGUGUUUUGAAUGGUUCUGCAUUGCUAGGUGGUGUUUUGGGUUGUUUUUAGGGAGUUGCUAGGGUGCUUUGAGUUGUUCUUAAUUGCUAGGUGGUUUCUAGGGUGUUGUUAUGCAGGUACUCUGAGUUUUCUAUGGUGUAUUGGAUGGUUUGUAGGGGGUUACUGAAAGGUUUCAGAUUGUGUUCACAAUUGUCUUAAACCUGUGCAAGCCAAAGGCCAGUAAGUCAAUAAUCUCUGAGGACCAAGGGCUGAAACUAACUUUUGCUUUCACAGAUACAGCGAGCAGAUGUUCUGAAGGAUGCUUGAUUCUUCGAGCUGAACGUUUUGACAUGGCAUCCUCUCACAAAGGUCAUAUCUACCGAGGGUCAGAGUUCAGGACUGACUUGGUUUGAAAUAUGGUGUCUUGUUAUAGCCCUAAACACAGUCUCAUACCUUCACUGCCAUAUCUCACCAUCAGGAACAACCUCUAAACAGCCCUCAUAAAAAACAAGGCGGGCUCCUUCACCCCGGACAUGUUCUGGAGGGCUUUUACGGCUUGAUAAAUGGCACUGAACCCGCUCCCGCCCUCCAUCUUCCAUCAAUCGCCAAUCUCGGGUGUUUUGGGGACAGUCUUUACGUCAGGGGGACUAAUCUCCCCAUCGGGGUCCGGCUCACCCGACCGGUCCAUCUGCUUCUGAAGCUCUUCUGUCAGCACAAGAUCGCUUAUCUAGCUGCUGACGUGCUCUUCCGCACAGGGACGUUGAUUGAAAGGCUUCAAAACCAACCCUUCAUCAAACCCCUCAAAGCCCAUUCUGGACUCCUGACAGGAGAGACGUGUUCUCCAUCAGCAUUUAAACCACGUGUGUAGACGCAAUACAGACAUGCAGAACCACAACAGCUGCAGACGUACACGUUCAUACGUGUCCAGCGCAAACAGAACAUGAACACCCACGAUUAUAAAGGGGUGAUGAAAUACCCUAAACAGAGCUUUACAAAGGAGAACAGUGAAAUCAAAUCUAAAAACACUUUGUUACAUGCAAUCUAAUCUAAAAUGUAAUUUAUUCCUGUGAUCAAAGCUGAAUUUUCAGCAUCAUUACUCCAGUCUUAGGUGUCCACAUGAUCUUCAGGAAUCAUGAAAAUAUGUUGAUUUGCUGCUCUGGAAACAUUUUUGAUUAUUAUCAACGUUGAAUCAUAUUUUUGUGGAAAAUGUGAUAAUCAAAGGUUUGGGAUAAGACUGAUUACAGCGUCUCAAUCAAAGCUUUCCAGGUGUUUAACAGGAAGGACUCGUCGUUCUUUAAUACCCAGAUACGGUGAAUAAGACAGACGUGGGAGUUCCUCACAACCACAAAACAGCGUUAUCAUAUGAACGAGUCAGUAAAUUUCACCAAAAUCCCACGAGUCGUAUGUGCACAUUUACAAAAUGUUUGAUGACGGUAAGGUUUUGUUUGAAAGAAACGAUCAAGGAUUCAAUCAAUUGCUCAAAAUGUCAACUUUGAACUUUCUAUUCAUCUGUGAAUCAUGAAAAAUUAAAUAUAUCACGGUUUCCAAGCACCGUUUUCAACAUUUAUGAUAACAGACAUGUUUCAGGAUCAGCAAAUCAUCACAUUAGAAUGACUUCUGGAGGAUACUGAAGUAUAUACCGCAUUGAACACAGAAAUAAAGUACAUUUUAUUCACAUAGAAAACAGUUAUUUGAAUUUUUACUGUAUUUUUGAUCAAAUAAAUGCAGCCUUGGUGAGCAGAAGAGAUUUCUUUCAAAAAACAUGUAAAAGUAUGUUUUUUACUGAAACCUUAACACUACCUUUGCAUUUUAUUUCUUUAAGGUGGGAAUGUUCCUCGGCAUCAUGAGAACACAAACUAAUAGAAGAACCCAAAGAGUUCUGCUUUCUACCUUUCAGAUCCAGACGAGACUGAUCCAAGAACAACAGCACAUUGUGUUCUCCAUCGGGACAGACGGAGGUGUAAAACGCACCACCUGAACAAGAGCACAAUGGAGGAAUUAUCUGCACUUCACUUCAGGCUAAACGUCUCUGAGAACAUCCACCUGUCUGAUAUGACAGCCGUCUGUCUGCACCGAGGACGGAUGAAUAACUGCUCAUUCACAGCCGCUCGCUGGAACAUCAUGUCAAGAUCAUUGUUUCAUCAGUAGAGUGACUGUCAGCUGUUUACAUUUACACUCAGCAUUUACUGUGUUUAGAAGAAAGACUUUCAAACCCUGAUGUUUAUUAUACAUAAAAAUUAUUUAUGUUUUCUAUAGGCUGUAUACAAUGAGAAAAACACAUUUUGCUACAAUUACAGUACAAAUUGGUUACCA